AGUCCCCCCGGAAUGCAUUAGAGACUCAUCAACGCCACCCUGGCUUAAAACCAUCAGCUCAGCUCUUUCCCCCGACCAUCCCCUGGUGGCAGACACACUCUCAUUAAACAACCUUCGUAACGGGGGGAGGAAGAACGACGGCGCAGAGGGUAUGGGGCCUUCACCGGCCUCGGGAGGACAAACAACCACGGACAGAGGCAGAGAACCAGAAACUAUUGAUCCCCCUCUAUGGCCAAAACAAGAGAGGACAUGGGCACAGACAGCAGAGGAAGCAAACAAGAAAGAUUAAAAAAAGCAGAGGCCUGACAUCCACGCUCUGGACUCUGGUGUUCUCAGAAUGCUCUCACACCACCCUGUGCCUCACAGAUGAGCAGGCGGAGGACGCUGUGCCACUGAGGUACAAGCAAUCUGGUACCGGCCAGGUUAUUGACAGCUACCAAGUGUAUUGUUUAAGGAAGCAUUAGAAGAUGAAGUGAACAAAAGAUGUCCAUAUUUGCACAACAAAGCGCAUAAUCAUGGACAUAUUCUUUCAUUUGCUGAGAUUUCAUAUUUAAGCCAUACUGUAAAAUUGUAUUAAUAUUGUUUAAUUGUCAAUGAAUGAAGCCCCAGUAAAGGACUGAAAUGGGUAC
ensembl:lncRNA